AAAGAUUUUUGCUUGCUGUCAAACACACCAGUUAACUGAGGCUUUUAGAUCCCAACUCUGAACAAGGGUCUAUGUUAAACAUCAAAAUCCUUGGAGGAUCACCAGGAAGAACAUAAGGAGGAUACAAUACUUUGAUGUACUUUUGUGGGUGAUAGGGGGAACAACAGUCUGCUCUUUGAAGAGCAGAGAGACUUCACAGUCUGUAUUUGUAUUUAUUUUCCAGCAGGAUUUCCAAUGCACCCAAGACCAAAUGUCCACAAGAGGGGACUUCUAGGCUUUUCUAUGCUCUGAGCAAAGAUUUAGUGCUUCAGAAAAAUACAUCUGGGCUACUCUGCCUGUCUCCUUCCUGCCACUACAGCACACAGGAACUGGACUGAGGGCACAGGACUCCAGUUCCUCCUCUGCCAAGAAGAUGCCACAGAGCUCUCCCUUGUCAUGCACCACCAGAAGGAAAAGCUGCUUUGCCACCAAGGUGAGGCCAUCAGAAACACCUGGGUGCAUCCCUGGGGUUUAAAAAGAUUCAGCUGGGUAUAAUCAGUCUCACCCGGGGCUG
rnacentral:lncRNA from 1 species